AAAACAAGCAAAGGCGAAAAUUUGUGCAAACACACUUCCAAGGCUGCAUCAAGGCUCCAAUCACAUUGCUAUACAACAUUCAAAAGCCCACAAAUCACUCAAUUUGAAUGGGUGGCGCUAAGGGAAGAAAGGGUUCUUCAACCUCGUGCUCUCGCGGAGUGAAGGAGGUGAAGGAGAAGAAGAAGGUUUUGACUGGUUCUGCUUCUCGUCCCCUGGGGGUCCAUGGCUCGGACGUGCAGGCUCAGUCUUCAGGCGUGAGAGUCAUGAUCAACGCUGAUGGUUCUGAAACUGAGUGGGAUGAGGAUUGGUAUAAUUAUCUUCAUUCGGAGGAGUUCGCUCGUCGGGCAGAAUAACGUGUUUUUGUUUUGUUUGAUGUGUAUUUUGUAACGCUCGUCGGGCAGAAUAACGUGUUUUUGUUUUGUUUGACGUGUUUUGUUUUGUUUUGUUUUGAUUUCGGAUUGUAUCUUUCGCACAGUGUUUUUGGAUUGGAUUUAUCAUCUUAGUAUUUUCAGUUUA